rnacentral:rRNA from 1 species
UACGUAGGGGGCAAGCGUUAUCCGGAUUUACUGGGUGUAAAGGGAGCGUAGACGGUUUUUCAAGUCUGAAGUGAAAGCCCGCGGCUCAACUGCGGAACGGCUUUGGAAACUGAGGGACUAGAGUGCUGGAGGGGCAGGCGGAAUUCCUAGUGUAGCGGUGAAAUGCGUAGAUAUUAGGAGGAACAUCGGUGGCGAAGGCGGCUUACUGGGCUUUUACUGACGCUGAGGCUCGAAAGCGUGGGGAGCAAACAGG